rnacentral:rRNA from 1 species
CCUACGGGGGGCAGCAGUGAGGAAUAUUGGUCAAUGGGCGCGAGCCUGAACCAGCCAAGUAGCGUGAAGGAUGACUGCCCUACGGUUUGUAACCUUCUUUUAUAAAGGAAUAAAGUGAGGCACGUGUGCCUUUUUGUAUGUACUUUACGAAUAAGGAUCGGCUAACUCCGUGCCAGCAGCCGCGGUAAUACGGAGGAUCCGAGCGUUAUCCGGAUUUAUUGGGUUUAAAGGGAGCGUAGAUGGGUUGGUAAGUCAGUUGUGAAAGUUUGCGGCUCAACCGUAAAAUUGCAAUUGAUACUGGCAGUCUAGAGUACAGUAGAGGUAGGCGGAAUUCGUGGUGUAGCGGUGAAAUGCUUAGAUAUCACGAAGAACUCCGAUGGCGAAGGCAGCUUACUAAACUGCAACUGACACUGAUGCACGAAAGCGUGGGGAGCAAACAGGAUUAGAUACCCGUGUAGUC